AAAAAGUUUGAUUCUUGCUUUAGUUUUUAUUUUAUAGUUAAAGAGUACAUGCAAAUUUUAAUGCGAAAGGCGAUGUAACUAAAGGUUAUUUGUUUAUGAGCGGAGUUAUUACUCUUAAGAAUAAAUUCGCAGUACAAAAUAUUAUUUAUUUGGUUGGGGCCUGAAAAGGUAAAUUAUAUUCAAAAAUCUGAUUAAAUUUUGUGCCAGCAGUCGCGGUAAGACUUGGAGAUUGAGUAGAAAUUUUUAGUUAUAAUUACUAUAGGGGGUUUAUUUGUAAGUUAGGUUUAUAGUUAAUAAAAGGUGAAAUUAAUUUGUUAUAGUGUAAAUUUAAUUUAGUUUUAAAAUAAUAGGAGGUUGAUAAAAUUUAGAUAUGAACUAGGAUUAGAUACCCUAUUACACUUUAUUGAAAAAAAUUUAAAACUUGAAUAUUAAAAGUUAUGUUCUUUAAAUUCAGAGAAUUUGGCGGUAUUUUAGUCUUGUUAGAGGAACCUGUUUUAUAAACGAUACAACACGUAAUAUCUUACUAAUUUUUGUUUAGCAGUUUGUAUACCGUCAUUAUUAGAUAACUUUUAUAGGAUAAGUUAUUAUAAUUAAAUACUUAAAUAUAUUAGAUCAAGGUGCAGCUAAUAAAUUAGAAAAAAUGGGUUACAAUGAAAUUUAUUUAGAACGAAUCAAUAUUUGAAAGUAAUAUUGUGAAGGGGGAUUUAAUUGUAAUUAAAAAUUUAACAGGGUUUAGUGAUAUAAGUACUAAAUUAUGUACAUAUCGCCCGUCGCUUCCAUUUAAGGUGGAAUAAGUCGUAACAUAGUAGGUUUACUGGAAAGUGAACCUGGAAGUAG
rnacentral:ncRNA from 1 species